GAUGAACGCUGGCGGCGUGCUUAACACAUGCAAGUCGAGCGAGAAGUUUUGAAAAGAUUCUUCGGAUGAAAUUUAAAAUGGAAAGCGGCGGACGGGUGAGUAACGCGUAGGCAACCUGCCCCAUACAAAGGGAUAGCAUUUGGAAACGAAUAUUAAUACCUUAUGAAACUUAACUAGUGCAUGCUAGGUAGGUCAAAGAUUUAUCGGUAUGGGAUGGGCCUGCGUCUGAUUAGCUAGUUGGUGAGGUAACGGCUCACCAAGGCGACGAUCAGUAGCCGACCUGAGAGGGUGAACGGCCACAUUGGAACUGAGACACGGUCCAAACUCCUACGGGAGGCAGCAGUGGGGAAUAUUGCACAAUGGGGGAAACCCUGAUGCAGCAACGCCGCGUGAACGAUGAAGGCCUUUGGGUCGUAAAGUUCUGUUCUAGGUGAUGAGAACUGACAGUAACCUAGGAGAAAGCCCCGGCUAACUCCGUG
rnacentral:rRNA from 1 species